rnacentral:rRNA from 1 species
UACGAAGGGGGGCUAGCGUUGCUCGGAAUCACUGGGCGUAAAGCGCACGUAGGCGGAUUGUUAAGUCAGGGGUGAAAUCCUGGAGCUCAACUCCAGAACUGCCUUUGAUACUGGCGAUCUUGAGUCCGGGAGAGGUGAGUGGAACUGCGAGUGUAGAGGUGAGAUUCGUAGAUAUUCGCAAGAACACCAGUGGCGAAGGCGGCUCACUGGGCCCGGUACUGACGCUGAGGUGCGAAAGCGUGGGGAGCAAACAGGAGU